GAUGAACGCUGGCGGCGUGCCUAAUACAUGCAAGUCGAGCGAACAGACGAGGAGCUUGCUCCUCUGACGUUAGCGGCGGACGGGUGAGUAACACGUGGAUAACCUACCUAUAAGACUGGGAUAACUUCGGGAAACCGGAGCUAAUACCGGAUAAUAUAUUGAACCGCAUUGUUCAAUAGUGAAAUACGGUUUUUCUGUCACGUAUAGAUGGAUCCGCGCCGCAUUAGCUAGUUGGUAAGGUAACGGCUUACGAAGGCAACGAUGCGUAGCCGACCUGAGAGGGGGAUCGGCCACACUGGAGCUGAGACACGGUCCAGACUCCUACGGGAGGCAGCAGUAGGGAAUCUUCCGCAAUGGGCGAAAGCCUGACGGAGCAACGCCGCGUGAGUGAUGAAGGUCUUCGGAUCGUAAAACUCUGUUAUUAGGGAAGAACAAAUGUGUAAGUAACUAUGCACGUCUUGACGGUACCUAAUCAGAAAGCCACGGCUAACUACGUG
rnacentral:rRNA from 1 species